GGUAUGGUUACUUUAGGGUAGGUUACUUUAGGGUAGGUGAGGGUAGGGGUACAUACCCUGAUCGGAGGGCGGUGAUGAUGGGUAGGUAUGGUUACUUUAGGGUAGGUUACUUUAGGGUAGGUAUGGUUACUUUAGGGUAGGUGUGGUUACUUUAGGGUAGGUAUGAUUACUUUAGGGUAGGUAUGGUUACUUUAGGGUAGGUAUGGUUACUUUAGGGUAGGUUACUUUAGGGUAGGUAUGGUUACUUUAGGGUAGGUAUGGUUACUUUAGGGUAGGUGUGGUUACUUUAGGGUAGGUAUGGUUACUUUAGGGUAGGUGUGGUUACUUUAGGGUAGGUUACUUUAGGGUAG